GGCAUCGGGAUUGAAGCUUGCUUCAAAUUGCCGGCGACCGGCGCACGGGUGCGUAACGCGUAUGUAACCUACCUAUAACAGGGGCAUAACACUGAGAAAUUGGUACUAAUUCCCCAUAAUAUUCGGAGAGGCAUCUCUCCGGGUUGAAAACUCCGGUGGUUAUAGAUGGACAUGCGUUGUAUUAGCUAGUUGGUGAGGUAACGGCUCACCAAGGCAACGAUACAUAGGGGGACUGAGAGGUUAACCCCCCACACUGGUACUGAGACACGGACCAGACUCCUACGGGAGGCAGCAGUGAGGAAUAUUGGUCAAUGGACGCAAGUCUGAACCAGCCAUGCCGCGUGCAGGAAGACGGCUCUAUGAGUUGUAAACUGCUUUUGUACGAGGGUAAACUCACCUACGUGUAGGUGACUGAAAGUAUCGUACGAAUAAGGAUCGGCUAACUCCGUGCCAGCAGCCGCGGUAAUACCGGAGGAUUCAAGCGUUAUCCGGAUUUAUUGGGUUUAAAGGUGCGUAGGCGGUUUGAUAAGUUAGAGGUGAAAUCCCGGGGCUUAACUCCGGAACGCCUCUAAUACUGUUAGACUAGAGAGUAGUUGCGGUAGCGGAAUGUAUGGUGUAGCGGUGAAUGCUUAGAGAUCAUACAGACACCGAUUGCGAAGGCAGCUUACCAAACUAUAUCUGAC
rnacentral:rRNA from 1 species